CUGUUGGAGAAGUGAGUGCUAAGUUAUCCAGCAGUACUGACUCUCAGAAGGGAGCAGCUGUUGCUGGGAGCAAGAGAACAUACAAAAUUGAUUAGAGUUCGGACUGUGAUGACAGCUGUGAAUGGCAGUCCUACUUCUGGAAGGGCACACUAGCUUUUAUGAGAUUGAAAUUUGAGUUGUCUACUAACAACAAAAAAUUUCUACUGUGCUGGGAGAAAAGUCAGUCAAAGAAAUGCUGAGUCAAUGGUCUCUGUCAGUCUUUCAACCAUGUUUGCUGCUGUUAAUAGAGGGAGCCAAGGCCAAUUAUCACCUGAAUGAAGGAAAUGUCAAUCUGUGAGCUACGGCAUGGUGCACUGAACAAGGCCAAAUCCAGAAAAAGCAAGAUCUUGGUAAAAUGCUGGGAUGAAUUUUAUUUCAGAAGAUCUGAACAGACUACUCCUUUCUUCCUCUCUUCCAUUUCAUCAGAGGAAGAGCACUUCAUAGCUUUACUCUGGCAAUGAACUUGUGGGCAGCACAAAGUAAGAUGAAUGACAGAGCUAUAGACUAUAGCUGAGGCAUGAGAGUAAUAUCAAGGCUUGGAGCCAUCACACCUGGGAUAACAUUCUGGCUGUCGCUUAUUAAAUACUGGGAAUAUUAAACUGGUUGCAACUUCCCUGAGCUUUUGACCACUUGCUGUAUUAUGGAAUGAUAGAAGUACAGGACAAAAGUCUGGAAUGGGGGUAAAACUUUGCUAAUUCAGUCCAAGCAAACUCCCGGAUAAACCACCAAUCAAAAAGAAACAGAUGCUGAGGCAUGAACUUCUCUUUCCACAGUUUGGAUCUAUAUAAUGUUCUCAAGGGUCAUUUUCUUUGAUUUAGUAAAUGUAGCCUAAUUGCAAAACUAAGCAUUUUCUCAUUCCCUUAGGAUUAGCUUCUUUACUAUAUUUCUUGAUGGGAAGUAUAUUUCUUAUAUUUCUGUGGGGUUUAGAUGUUUCCAAAGUUAACUUGCAUGUAACCCUUUAAGAAAAGCUGGGAAGUUAUUAUUUUCCCAUUUUAGAAACGAGGAACCUGAUGCUCAGAGAUGUUAAGUAGUUUGCCCAAUAAUUGACACCUAAUAAAUGACAAAGUCAUGUCUUCUAACACUUUCAUUUCACUCAUUUACUUAUCUAUUAAUUUAAUCAAUAAAUAUUUAUGUGACACAUUCUGUGUUCCAGGCUGUAUAUGAAACGUGUGUAUGACAAUGAACAAGGUGGGGAAUACAGACAAUAAAUCUAAUCAGACAAAUAAAUACAUAAUUAUAA